rnacentral:lncRNA from 12 species
UAUCUGGCAUCAUUAAUGAUGCCUAAUAAAUGAAUGAACAUGUCCCAUCCUGAAGCCCUGAACUUGUGCACAGAAUGCCUCAGAUCAUAAUGUUACUGAUGAAGGCAUGAAGCAAUGCCAGCCGCACUUUUUGAUGCACUGGGCUCUAAUUAGCUUUGGCUGAGAGCAAGAGACAAAGGUCUUCACUUUCAUGGCUUUUGAUUUGUUGGCUUUUUUUUCCCCCUCCAGAGAUCUUAGAUCCUGACAAUAUGGAGAAAAGCAGAUUUGAGAGAGAAGAUGUACUUUGUCUGAGACUCGUUAAGUGAAUAUCUCCAGUAACUUGGAGGAGAUGGGUCUGGAACUGCCCUGAGUAUAAACAUUUCAGAUACAAUUUUUGCAACAUGUCCACACAGGUCGACUAGGGGAAACUGGGAAGGUAGGUGCAUAGGUCCAGGAAGAGCACACAAAGUGGGAGGAGGCUGUAAGGCGGACUCCAUGGAUUUCACCAGCAGCCCAACAAACUGCAGAAUUGGAUCUCAGAAAACAUGUUCACCUUGGUUUAAAGUAAGAUGGGGUUUGGGGUUUCUAAGCUAUUCUACAAUAGCUCAUUUUAGUGCACAGUGUAGUAACCUGCUGUCAAUCCUAAAUUCUGACAACAGACUGCAGCUCUAUCUAUCACUGCUAGUCUAUUAUGUUAAUAAUUAAAUACUUAUUAUGUCCUAGGCUCUGCACUUUGCAUUUUAUAUAUAUUCUCUUAAAGCUUUCUACCAACUCAGUAGGGAAGAUACUCCUUUUCUACACAUGUAAAAAGAGGCACUGAAGUUAAAGGACUUCAUCCAGCCAGUACAUAAUACAAUCAAGAUUUGACCAGGCUUGACUUACUUAAAAGUCCUUGGUCUUUCCACUAUGUGGAUUGAUUGAUUGAUUGAUUGGAGAGAGAGAAUGAAUACUGAGCAGGAGGAGGGGGAAGGAGAGUAGCAGGGGGAGGAAGGGGGUGAGGUAGAGGGAUAAGGAGACUCCCAGCUGAGCCUGCCCUGGCAGCUAGAUCCCAGGACCCUGAGAUUAUGGACUGAGCCAUCCAGGUGCCCCGUGACUGGCUGACUUUAAAAUACACUUAUGGAACACAACCCACUGAUAAACUAGAGCCUGUAUUUAUCAAUAUUAGAACCAUUGAUUUGUUUAAAAAAGAAGAAAAGAACCCUUAGUAAUUUGUAACUUUUCCAAAACUCUAUUUGUGGUGCCUCAAAUCACCAUACUCAGUGCUCUUCAUUAUUUGGUGUGAACUGAAUCAAAUCAAUAAUAUGCACUUUUUGAACAUUUUCUAAUUCAAAUAACAAAACAGCCUUGAAAAUACUCAAAUAGAAAGGUGCUGUGAAGAAGACAAUGCUCCCUGUGUAAAAAGAAUUUUGAAGGAUUAAAAAAAUAAUACCCACCAUCAGACACACAAAGGAAAUCCCUGCAUCUUUGCUGUAUUACAUUAUAUAUUCCUGAUUCCGACUUCAGCAGGGAAUAACUUGCUUAGUGGUCACUGGUGGGUCUUUUCGGAUUUAGCUACAGGCAUUGUCUUGUCCUUAAGAAUGAGUAGCUUCUUCUAGUGUUAUCACACUGGCUAGAGGCAAAAUUGUCAAGAAACAUGUAGUAGAAUUUGGCUUAAAGCCCUCCGAACAUAUAAUUACUUUCUAAAGUUCCAAUCUACACAAUAGCA